UCUAAUAUGGCAGACUAGUGCAUUGGCUUUAAGCUCCAAUCAUAAAAUUUAUUUUUUUUAGAA
rnacentral:tRNA from 1 species